rnacentral:rRNA from 1 species
AGUGAACGCUGGCGGUAGGCCUAACACAUGCAAGUCGAACGGCAGCACAGUAAGAGCUUGCUCUUACGGGUGGCGAGUGGCGGACGGGUGAGGAAUACAUCGGAAUCUACUUUUUCGUGGGGGAUAACGUAGGGAAACUUACGCUAAUACCGCAUACGACCUACGGGUGAAAGCAGGGGAUCUUCGGACCUUGCGCGAUUGAAUGAGCCGAUGUCGGAUUAGCUAGUUGGCGGGGUAAAGGCCCACCAAGGCGACGAUCCGUAGCUGGUCUGAGAGGAUGAUCAGCCACACUGGAACUGAGACACGGUCUAGACUCCUACGGGAGGCAGCAGUGGGGAAUAUUGGACAAUGGGCGCAAGCCUGAUCCGGCCAUACCGCGUGGGUGAAGAAGGCCUUCGGGUUGUAAAGCCCUUUUGUUGGGAAAGAAAAGCAGCAGGUUAAUACCCCGCUGUUCUGACGGUACCCAAAGAAUAAGCACCGGCUAACUUCGUG